GAUGAACGCUAGCGGCAGGCUUAAUACAUGCAAGUCGAGGGGUAACACGGGUAGCAAUACCUGGUGACGACCGGCAAACGGGUGCGGAACACGUACAGAACCUUCCUUUAAGCGGGGGAUAGCCCAUAGAAAUGUGGAUUAAUACCCCAUAGUAAUAUUGUCUGGCAUCAGAUGGUAUUAAAGAUUUAUCACUUAAAGAUGGCUGUGCGGCUGAUUAGGUAGUUGGUGCGGGAACGGCCCACCAAGCCAUCGAUCAGUAACUGGUGUGAGAGCACGA
rnacentral:rRNA from 1 species